AAUAUCACCACCUUCUCCCUGGAGAGGGGAGAGUAAAAUGGACCAUGCAUACUGCAUUUUUCUUGUCCUUGACUGUCCUCCAAGGUUCCCUUCUUUGAUCACCAACAGCAGAAGCAGGCACAAGUGCUUUUGAGCAUGGAGAAUGAAUGAAGAAAUGAGAAGAAUCUUCAAUUCUCUGUUUGGUGAUCACAGAUAAGGUCCAGGUGGAAAAUAUCUCCUCUGCUCAAGAAUAUAAUCCAGCAAGUUACCAGGCCAAAUGGCUCUCUGAACACGAGCCCACAAAGCGCUGAAUGAGGAAGUGCACUGCUCCAGGAGAUUUCAGCACAGCCAACCAGAAGGUGGCUUUAGCAGUGGUGCUAGAAACAAAAAAAUGGCUUGAAACGGUCACGUGCUGGCUGGCUGGCAGCUGGGUCCAAGGAUUGAAGACAAAGUGGAUUUUCUGCCCAACUUAGAAACAUAAAUCUGCCAAGAUGUAUAACAAAGACUAAGUCAUGGACAAAGCAGCCAGAGGAAACUCUGAAACUGUCUGAUAGCACUGGGGUAACAGAACGUCACACUAAGCUGCAACACCUCAUCCGCCAGCAAGCUCCUUUGGACUGUAGCUGCCCUAUAACGUUUCUCACAUAUGCAUGGAACUAUGAAAUUCAGUGUUCCAGCACAACAUUAGUUAGAUUUAGCUUUGGUGCUUGGCUGCUGGUUACUGCUGAAAAAACAGAGGUUUGCUUUGCUAAAGCAUCCAAAAUGAAAUUUGCUUGCUGUUGCUGCACUAAGUUGCCAUCCAGCAUGCACUGAAGAAAAAAAUCCUGGUUAUUUUCCCAUGGCUCCCUUAGCCAUACAAGUGCUAGGUGGGAAUGCACCUUCCUUGUGAAAAUGGACUGUGGAGAACAGAUCAGCUGGAUUCUCAGGUUGUUCUCCUGGGGCCUUGGCAGGCUGGGACUCAGAGCUGCAGGCAGCCUCCCUUCCACUCAACCUCUGCAGGGUGAGCAAAACAGUGCUUCUACCUCCAUGUAGCUCUGUUUUGUAUAUGUCCUCUGUUCACUGCAAACAUAUGAAAGACACAUGUUUUAUUGCAGAUUUUUUUGGCAUGCAGACAAAGUGCAAGGAGAGGGGCUAAUUAGGCUUCAGGGUGGCACCUCCCUCUAGCAUCAUAAAUAAAAGCUAUUUAACAAAAAAUAUAAUAGGAUGCCAGUAAAAAUGCUUGGAAAUAGAAUUACAAUAGCCAAACUUGUAUUUUGUAAGUUGUUUACCAUAAAUGAAAUAAAGUACAAAGGAAAU
rnacentral:lncRNA from 7 species